rnacentral:rRNA from 1 species
UACGUAGGGGGCAAGCGUUGUCCGGAUUUACUGGGCGUAAAGAGCGUGUAGGCGGCCAAGCAGGUCCGUUGUGAAAACUGGAGGCUUAACCUCCAGACGUCGACGGAAACCGCGUGGCUAGAGUCCGGAAGAGGAGAGUGGAAUUCCUGGUGUAGCGGUGAAAUGCGCAGAUAUCAGGAAGAACACCAAUGGCGAAGGCAGCUCUCUGGGACGGUACUGACGCUGGGACGCGAAAGCGUGGGGAGCGAACAGG